UAUAAAGCUUUCUCUUGUUUAAUACAAAGUAUUCUUGCAAGCUUCUCUUCUUAGCUUCUCUUAGCUUUGUUGUGGCAAUAUUUCGGGAAAAGGCUGACUUAGCACAUCGCAGGGGCGAAUUGUGACUAAGGCCGCACGGAAGAUAGCUAGGGAGUUAUCUGGUCCGUGACAAUUUGCUCAAGUGGUAAAUCAAAUUGUGAAGUAAAAGUAAAAAAAGAGAAAAAGUUAUUAAAUUUCUCCCUUGCCGGGAUGUUUGUGGCUUUGUUGAUUAUCUCCCUUGCCGGGAUGCUAAGAAUGUUGAUAUUGUUCCAUUGCCGGGAUUAACUGUUAAAUUUUGUUCCCUUGCCGGAUUUUUAUUAUUAUUUGUUUACUCCUUUGCCCAUUAUUUGUGAUUGUUGUUUGGGUGAGGAAGAGUGUUAAAGCAUAAAGGGU
rnacentral:lncRNA from 1 species